rnacentral:rRNA from 1 species
UACGGAGGGGGUUAGCGUUGUUCGGAAUUACUGGGCGUAAAGCGUGCGUAGGCGGAUUAGAAAGUAUGGGGUGAAAUCCCAGGGCUCAACCCUGGAACUGCCUCAUAAACUACUAGUCUAGAGUUCGAGAGAGGUGAGUAGAAUUCCGAGUGUAGAGGUGAAAUUCGUAGAUAUUCGGAGGAAUACCAGUGGCGAAGGCGGCUCACUGGCUCGAUACUGACGCUGAGGUACGAAAGUGUGGGGAGCAAAC